UGGGGAAUCUUGCGCAAUGGAGGAAACUCUGACGCAGCUACGCCGCGUGCAGGAAGACACCCCUACGGGGCGUAAACUGCUUUUCUGCGAGAAGAAGGCCACCCUCCGUUGGAGGGGGUUUGACGGUACCGCAGGAAUAAGGACCGGCUAACUCCGUGCCAGCAGCCGCGGUAAUACGGAGGGUCCAAGCGUUGUCCGAAAUUACUGGGUUUAAAGGGUGUGCAGGCGGAACAGCAAGUCAGCGGUGAAAGCCCGCGGCUCAACCGUGGAAGUGCCGUUGAAACUGCUGUUCUUGAGUCCCGGAGAGGUCGCUGGAAUUCGUGGUGUAGCGGUGAAAUGCGUAGAUAUCACGAGGAACACCAGAAGCGAAAGCGGGCGACCAGACGGUGACUGACGCUCAGGCACGAAAGCGUGGGGAGCGAACAGGAUUAGAUACCCGCGUAGUCC
rnacentral:rRNA from 1 species